rnacentral:lncRNA from 1 species
CAAGAAGGAAGACAGGAAUUCCAAAGCAGUAUGAAGAAAAAAGGCUAAAGUCAGUAGACUUCAGCUGAAUUCCAGCAGAGUGGACUCUUGGAUUCAUCACUUUGAGGCCAGUUCAAUUCCAGUGUAAUCAAGUUUGUCAUGUGCCAGCAAUGAAGAAGCUGGAGUUCUGAGUAAGACCAAGAAGUUAAGAAAACUUUGAAAUAGAACUCUGAUGUAUUUGGAAGUGUUUAAAAAAUUUUUUGUAGUACCUGCAUGAAUCAUUUUGGAGGCACACACUACUUGGACAACUGCAGAGGGAGUCUCUAAUAGAACUCAAAUAUUGCUACCCAGUGGCAUCCUUUGGGAUUUGUAUUAAGGUAUCUUUUUAUUUUCUAAUACUUUGGUGUUUUGAUAUCUGAGGACUUGCUGACCAGGAAAGGACUGUCCCUCUCAGGGUCAGCUAAUGCCUAGAGAUAAGCAUCCAACUGGCCUGUGAGUGUGCCAUUCAUAUGUAAACCAACCAAGAACCCUUACCCACCCAGUCUCCUACAACUAUUACCCCUUUAGUCAAAUCACCUCAGGACCAGGUACCAGACAAACAGAAAUAGCCCCAGUACCUCAAAGUCCACUGAAAUUGUUCAUGCUGCCCAAUCUUACUUACUCUGCUUACUUGCCCUGCUUACUCUGCCUUGCCUAUUCCCGUGGAAAUCACAAGAGUUUUUCACUCACAUUUUCCCUUGCUCUCUCUGCCUUCAGACCAACUCUGGGGCUUCCCCAUGUGGUCCCCUCAUGAAGUAUCAUACUCACGCCUCUGGCACCUGUGAGUAACAAACUUUCCAACGAGAGUCACCUCCUGAUCUGUUUGCCUCACCAUACUAUAAUAACAAUAAAAUCUACACUUUAAGACAGGAUAAUAGAUUUAAGAACUGCCUGAUUAAAGAAAAUUAUUUGCCUAUCAUUGGGCGAUGAUGCAAAUAUCUCCCACCACCUCAGGCCACCUGAUAGAGGUAGGUGUCACUUACAAUGUCAGAGAUAAAUCUCAGGUAGGAAUCUGGGUUUGCACCUUCUUAACGUUUUUUCCCCUGAACAUUCCUCUACUUUUCACUCAACCAUUCAUGAUUUGUAAAGAUUUGUUAUUUAUUUCAUGCAGCAGGUUGAGGUGUAUGUACUUUAAGGUUUUCUUCAGACAUCUUGGCUACUACACUAUUGAAGACAAAGCUGAAUAUAUAAACUUAUUCAGACAAGAAAAAAUGUGUUUUCUGGAGCUUUUUUGGCCUUGUGAGCGGAGUGGGGAUGAAUCACACAUAUUUGCUAUUGGGAUUGGGCAGUCGAUGCUGGAUGUGGGACUGAAGUCCAGGUCUGACUCUGGAGCAGAUGUCACUCCUGACUGGCCAAUAUGCCAUCUCUUAGUGACCAUCACUGCAAAAGGCCCAUUGAAGAAGACAGAGCGUGACAGUGGAUGCAGCAGUCAAGGAUCCCUCAGUAUCCAUAGAACUUUGACGGGUAUGAGAGAAAACAGAGAAACCUAACUCUUUGGCCACCUUGCGGCUGGCCCAGGGUCCAGCAGAAUGUUGUUAUAUUUUAUGACCAGCUGUAUUUUCCAAUCUACGAAUGCUACAUCUGGGUGUGUGUUUAAGCAUCAAACAAACACCCCCUCCUUACUGGUGCCCAGCAGCUAUUCCAAAGGGACUUCAGUUGUCAGACUCACAAAAAGUAUACACUUUCAAGAAAUGACUACCCUCAUGUUACAGUUGCAGCCAGAAGUGUAGAACUUCACGCAGAGUGAACUGCAAAUGCCUGACAGGCUUUGGGAGGCCAAUUAUUCUAGCUAUGAGUGUGCUUUAGGUCUUCUCCAUAUUUUGGAUAUACUCCGCAUACAGAUAGCUCCACACAUGCUGACCAUGCCCCCAAAACUUGGGCGUCUCCUACAAUUGCUCCUGUCUACAAUUACACAAGGGGUGGAGACUCGUACCUCCAGUAGACCAUUUUCUGUCAUCUUUAUUUCUAUGUUAUUUCUACAGUGUUAAAUAAUGUUCUCCAUUUUUCAGCUGGAAGUGACUUUUGCACAAACACUCCAACCAAUUAACAAAAAAUGUUUGAAGAAAUCACAUAAAUAUCAGGCCUGCCAAUUUUAAAUGUUAACACAGAAAAGCGAUAGAUUGUUUAAGCAUUAAUUUAUUUAGUUUUAACAAAUUUAAAAUUUCUACAACCUACGACAUAAAGUAGGUAUCAACACAACAUUUUCCGCGUGGAGGGAAUUUAGUUGGCCCUCUGGCUUUAAAUAAAAGCUAAGUACAGAAAAUAUAAGGCCCUCUU